GACGAACGCUGGCGGCGUGCUUAACACAUGCCAGUCGAACAGAAAGGCCCUGCUUUUGUGGGGUGCUCGAGUGGCGAACGGGUGAGUAACACGUGAGUAACCUGCCCUUGACUUUGGGAUAACUUCAGGAAACUGGGGCUAAUACCGGAUAGGAGCUCCUGCUGCAUGGUGGGGGUUGGAAAGUUUCGGCGGUUGGGGAUGGACUCGCGGCUUAUCAGCUUGUUGGUGGGGUAGUGGCUUACCAAGGCUUUGACGGGUAGCCGGCCUGAGAGGGUGACCGGCCACAUUGGGACUGAGAUACGGCCCAGACUCCUACGGGAGGCAGCAGUGGGGAAUAUUGCACAAUGGGCGGAAGCCUGAUGCAGCAACGCCGCGUGCGGGAUGACGGCCUUCGGGUUGUAAACCGCAUUCGCCUGUGACGAAGCGUGAGUGACGGUAAUGGGUAAAGAAGCACCGGCUAACUACGUG
rnacentral:rRNA from 1 species